GUUGUAAUUACACAGUUCUAACAGAUCAACGCACAGGUGUGCAUUGUAUAGUCGAAAGAUCUUGGUACGUAUACAGAAAUGAUCGACAAAAGUUUAGCUGUGACCGCGGCAAUUUUCGCCAUGCUUCUGGUCCUGUGUAACAGUCAUAGAGCCCAUGGACCAAAUAUAGACCACAAACACCCAACAAAUGCUGAAGAUCCAGAAUAUAUUCGUGAUAAAGACCACAUUAAGGAGCAUUAUAAGGGUAAAGUAGACACCGAUACUAGCAAUAUGGCAGAAGAAGAAAUGGAACAUCAUUU